AAAUAUUCUCGUGUUCUUCUAACGCCUCUGAUGUCUCCCUAAAACGCCUCUUCCCCGUUUCUAGCAUGCAACCCAUGGCCGUUCCUUCCUCUCACAUCCCCUUCUUCCAUACCUUCUCACCAUAACCUGAUGAAACAACAAAAUUACGGUACUGCCAUGGAAGAAAACCCUAGGAAUCUAGGGCUUCUGUCCAUCAAGCCGUCGAACCCGCCAGAACUCGUCCAAAAGUCAUCGCCUCUGAUUCUCGACCGUUUCCGAGUUCUCUUGAAUCAGAGGGAGGACGGAAUUAGGGUUUCUUCUGGUGGCGAUGAUGACGAGGAUGGUGGGCCACCGACGACGGAAGAGAUCGUGGGGAUGUAUGAGGAUGUCCUGUCGGAGCUGACGUUCAAUUCGAAGCCGAUUAUUACAGAUCUUACGAUUAUUGCUGGGGAGCAGAAGGAGCAUGGAGAGGCAAUCGCGGACGCUAUCUGUGCUCGGAUUAUUGAGGUUCCGGUUGAGCAAAAACUGCCUUCUUUAUAUCUUCUUGAUAGUAUUGUAAAGAACAUUGGUCGUGACUAUGUUAGGCAUUUUGCUGCUCGCCUUCCUGAGGUUUUCUGUCAGGCAUACAAGCAAGUUAAUCCUAGUCUGCAUCCUGCAAUGCGUCACCUUUUUGGGACUUGGUCCACCGUGUUCCCAUCUUCAAUACUUCGCAAAAUUGAGGCAGAGCUACAAUUUUCUCAACCUACGAGCCAUCAAUCGUCUAGUUUUACAGCAUUAAGACCUUCUGAAUCUCCUUCUCCCCGUCCAGGUCAUGGUAUUCAUGUAAAUCCAAAAUACUUGGAGGCACGGCGUCAGUUUGAACAUUCAACAGCGAUGCACGAAGUUGAUCCCCCCAGGAAUACAAGGAUGGCAGAUUUCAUAGAAAGAAUGGACAGUGAUGCUUCAGCGAGCCCCAAAGGAUGGUCUGGAGCUUCUUCAAAAUUUCAUGAAGUUCAACAUGGAAGGGAAGUUUCUUCAAGUGCACAGAACUAUGGGCGAAAACUCACCAUUGGACAUGGUGAUUAUGAGGUUCUCCCUACACAAACGGGAGCUAGAAGAGUAGGCUCACAGAGGAUUGAAGCAGGGCGUCUAUCUUCAUUAAUUGGAGCUGAAUGGCAAUUGGCAGCUUCAAAAAAGAAGCUUUUAGGGUCUUCACCUCCUUCAAGAGUUGUGCCAGCAAGGUCUUUAUCACCACCAGGUGAUGAUCACUUUGCAAGGGAUAUUUCUUCUGUAAAGGGGUUUGAAAAAGCCUCACCAUCUCAUUCUGGAUUUGCAUCUGAACUUAGCAGGAGUGACAAGGAUGGGGAGAGGCGUGGUCACUGGGAAAGAAACUGGUCUGAUGAUGGUACUCAGAAAAUGGAAACUUCUACAUUCAACCUUAGUAAUGGAUGUGAUCAGUCACAGCCAAGAGCAUUAAUUGAUGCUUAUGGAAAUUACAGAGGAAAAAGUACUCCAGAUGAUAAGCAUCCGAAGGUGAAACAGCCUGAUGUAAAUGGCAAUAAUAGUAAACCAGCCAGGGCUAAAUGGCAGAACAUUGAGGAAGAUGAGUAUGAUUGGGAGGAUAUGAGUCCAACUUUAGCUGAUCGUAGCAGGGGCAAUAAUCUGCCAUUUGAUUCCCCUCUUGGAAGCUUAAGCACAAGGGGCAGUUUAAGGAGAAUGAAUGAUGUAGCUUUUGAGCCUGAUUUCAGAAGAAGCAAGUGGCCUAGUCAUGUUCCACUGUCACUGGUCGAUGAAUCUGCUAUUAACAUUGAAGAUAGGAUGCCUAUCCUAGGAUCUGGUCAUGGAUUGAUGAGUAACAAGUCUCUGAGUCGUUCAGGAACUCAGCAUGAGUCAUUUUCUCAGUUUCCGGGUUCUCAUUACCCUCAUGAGCCUUGGAAUUUACCCCACCAUUUUCAAUCAAGAGAGAUGGGUUCCCAAUUUCCCUUCUCAGAAAGUGGGAUUGCUCCAUCAUCCAGGCAGAGAAUGCUUCCUCUGAGUGAGAAAGCACUAGACACUUACGUGCCAUUUCAGAGGCCCUCAACUAUUCGUCCAAUGAUGGGAUCUUCAAGUGCUGAUACUCUGAAUACAGGGGUUCCGUCCCUUGUGACUCCUGCAUCAACCAUUGAGCAGCAUCCAGCACAAUUGCCGCGUUCACCUCCACUGCCACCAAUAACAUGGCCUCCGACUCUUAAUUCUCGUCAGCCCCCCUUCCUCAGUAGCCUUCCACAAUAUAAGCAGAUUAAAAAUCAGUUCAAUUUGACGGAUGGUCCAAAUAACUCUUUGAUUUUGUCUCGGCCGCAAUUAGAUGCUGCUGAUGGAAAAACAUUAAAUUCUACUAAGCUUCUCCAGCUGCCUCAUCAGCAGGUUGAUUUGAUUUCUUUAAAUCAGCCAAGCCGGGAACUGGCUGCUCUUAUGCACCCGCAGUUUCUCAAGUUGCAAGAGGUUCAAGGAAGUUUUACCCCAUAUGCUCCAGUUCAGAUUCCUUCUCAUUUACUGGCACAAUCCUUAAGCCAUGGACACAUAUCAGGACAGGGUGCAGUUGGGAAUGUGGUUUCGCCCAACCCAUUGCCUGGAGUAUCUUCUUCAUCUGUAACAGUUCACUGUAUGCCGAAUGCAUCUUUUCCUGUUCAGGGGUUCGCCUUACCUCCACUACCGCUGGGGCCACCUCCUGCUUCAUCACAGACGGGACCCUCUCAAAAUACGGGUCCCAUUUUCUCUCAUCCUCCUCCUGGUGGUCCAUUUUCUGGUCUUAUGAGUUCUCUCAUGGCCAAGGGUUUGAUCUCAUUGACGGCACCAGCUGCAUUCCAGGAUUCUGUAGGACUUGAGUUCAAUGCUGAACUUCUCAAGGUGCGACAUGAGUCGGUAAUAAAUGCACUAUAUGUUGAUCUUCCACGACAAUGCACGACGUGCGGAUUGCGUUUCAAAGGCCAAGAAGAGCAUAGUAAUCACAUGGACUGGCAUGUGACGAAGAAUCGCAUGUCUAAAAACCGUAAGCAGAACCCUUCACGGAAAUGGUUUGUAAGUGCCAAAGAAUGGCUCAGUGGCGCAGAGACAUUGGGAACUGAUGCUGUUCCUGGGUUUUUGCCCAUGGAACCUGUUGUAGAGCAAAGGGAGGAUGAGGAAAUGGUGGUUCCUGCAGAUGAGAAUCAGAAUGUGUGUGCAUUAUGUGGGGAGCCUUUCGAGGAUUUUUAUAGUGACGAUACUGAAGAGUGGAUGUAUAAAGGGGCCGUAUACUUGAAUGCACCAGAUGGAUCUACAGAAGGCAUGCCUAGGUCACAGUUGGGUCCAAUUGUGCAUGCUAAAUGUAGGUCAGAGUCUUCAACGAUUCCUCCUGAAGAUUUUGGACAAGAUGAAGGGAUAGAAGGUUAUGAAGGGAAACACAGAACAGUUCACAUUCAACUGAAAAAAGGCCCAAGCUUGGUGCAUUGUCCAUCCAGUGGCACCUCAAUUGUACAAACCGAAAAGCCAAGUACACUGCAUUUAUUCAGGUUUGAGGAUCAUAGAAUCCUUCUAUUUUAUCCAUUCUGGGCAUGGCAUCCUUUUGAUUGAGGGUCCAUUUCUGCCAGGUUUUUCAUUUUCCUUCCCUCUUUAUCGUCUUCAUCUGUCUCUCUCUCUCUCUGUAAGAAAAGCCCAAAGGCUGAAACAAUUCAAGCAGUGUGCCACAGCAACCAGAAGACAACUCCCAAAAAUCAGGGAACCCACUCCCUGAUGUACAUUAAAGCCCUACAAAGAAACAGCCGAAUUGGACUUGCAGCGAUUCCUAAAGCAUCGAUUUUUCCUCUCACCCCAAAGGACCAUCAAGCAAUGCCAACCGCCAUAUUGACUUUCCUUUCCUCCCGGUGCCACUUCAUGCCAAGCAAGGAACAGCCCCUCAACAAUUCACAGCAUCACUCCAGGAAUUUUAAAGGCUCCCAAGAUGCCCUUCCACACUCCCCUAGCAAAGGCACAAGAGACAUCAGGGAGCACCAUAGUCCUCUUGACAAAUUAUCAAUGGUUGAGCACCCAGGUACAGUCUUUGCUAUCUGUGGGGUUAUUAAUGGCUUACAUGCAACUCCGUGCUACCAGUGAUCAAGUCCCAACCUCUCAAUUGUUUGUGACAUCGGAAAGGUUGGCCCCGCCAUGAAGAACCUGGCUAAAAAAAUCAGCUGCAAUCCACCCAUCAGGUGGGCCAUGAGUGAAUCAGGUUGAUUUCCAUACCAUGCAUCUUUAUGGUGGGGCCAACAUUUUCAACAGGUUGAAUGCACAUGACAAGUUGGUGCUUACCCACUUGUUUGAAUGUAACUCAGCAUCCAACCGGUUGUAUGUGCGUAGCAGAACUAGCACUGGAGUGGUACACACUAUUGCGUUUGUGCCCAUGAAAACCAAUGUUUUGUUGCUCCUUGAUGUAUUUUAUAUGGAGCUUGUAUUCAUUGGCCUAAUUUAUGUGUGGAACAUGCUUAUUCUGAUGGGUUUGUCAUCUUUAGGAACCCUGAGAUUGGACACCUCCUUCCAAACGGCUAAAUUAAAAUUGGGAUUUUAGAAGUAAAAUUUCUGCUGCAUUUCCAUAAAAAUCCAUCACAUACUCGUUCUCUUUUGUCUGUUUCAUUUGGCUUUCAUGUGCAAUAGCUCGAAUGUACCAUUUCUUCCUGCCCCAUACAUUUGUGGCCCUCUGUUUGGUGAUCCAGCAUGUUCGGAAGUCGGAGCCUCAGUAACAAGAUUCUUGGGUUUAGGCCCUUCUUGCGAGAGCUAUGCUGGAAGGCAUCUACCUUGGCCUCUACUCUUGAGUUCAGAUGCAUAUUAGAAUUAAGAUUUAAGCA